UGAGGAAUAUUGGUCAAUGGGUGCAAGCCUGAACCAGCCAUCCCGCGUGAAGGACGACUGCCCUAUGGGUUGUAAACUUCUUUUGUAUAGGGAUAAACCUACCCUCGUGAGGGUAGCUGAAGGUACUAUACGAAUAAGCACCGGCUAACUCCGUGCCAGCAGCCGCGGUAAUACGGAGGGUGCAAGCGUUAUCCGGAUUGAUUGGGUUUAAAGGGUCCGUAGGCGGACUUAUAAGUCAGUGGUGAAAGCCUGUCGCUUAACGAUAGAACUGCCAUUGAUACUGUAAGUCUUGAGUAUAUUUGAGGUAGCUGGAAUAAGUAGUGUAGCGGUGAAAUGCAUAGAUAUUACUUAGAACACCAAUUGCGAAGGCAGGUUACCAAGAUAUAACUGACGCUGAGGGACGAAAGCGUGGGGAGCGAACA
rnacentral:rRNA from 1 species